rnacentral:rRNA from 1 species
CGGGGGGGCCAAGCGUUGUUCGGAAUUACUGGGCGUAAAGGGCUCGUAGGCGGCCAACUAAGUCACACGUGAAAUCCCUCGGCUCAACCGGGGAACUGCGUGUGAGACUGGAUGGCUUGAGUUUGGGAGAGGAAUGCGGAAUUCCAGGUGUAGCGGUGAAAUGCGUAGAUAUCUGGAGGAACACCGGUGGCGAAGGCGGCAUUCUGGACCAAUACUGACGCUGAGGAGCGAAAGCCAGGGGAGCAAACGGGAUUAGAUACCCCGGUAGUCCUGGCCCUAAACGAUGAAUACUUGGUGUGGCGGGUAUCGAUCCCUGCCGUGCCGAAGCUAACGCAUUAAGUAUUCCGCCUGGGGAGUACGGUCGCAAGGCUG